rfam:Picea glauca, whole genome shotgun sequence.
GUAACGGUGUCUUUAGACACCACCCUCUAUCUUCAAAAUAUUUUUU